GACGAACGCUGGCGGCGUGCCUAAUACAUGCAAGUCGAGCGCAGGAAACUGACGGAACUCUUCGGAGGGAAGGCAGUGGAAUGAGCGGCGGACGGGUGAGUAACACGUAAGGAACCUGCCUCAAGGAUUGGGAUAACUCCGAGAAAUCGGAGCUAAUACCGGAUAGUUCAUCGGACCGCAUGGUCCGUUGAUGAAAGGCGCUUCGGCGUCACCUUGAGAUGGCCUUGCGGUGCAUUAGCUAGUUGGUGGGGUAACGGCCCACCAAGGCGACGAGGCAUAGCCGACCUGAGAGGGCGAUCGGCCACACUGGGACUGAGACACGGCCCAGACUCCUACGGGAGGCAGCAGUAGGGAAUCUUCCACAAUGGACGAAAGUCUGAUGGAGCAACGCCGCGUGAGUGAUGAAGGUUUUCGGAUCGUAAAACUCUGUUGUAAGGGAAGAACACGUACGAGAGGGAAUGCUCGUACCUUGACGGUACCUUACGAGAAAGUCACGGCUAACUUCGUGCCAGCCGCCGCAGUAA
rnacentral:rRNA from 1 species